UCAUAGCCCCUGACGCACCUCAUGGGU
rnacentral:sRNA from 1 species